rnacentral:rRNA from 1 species
GUGAACCAGUACCGUGAGGGAAAGGCGAAAAGAACCCCGGCGAGGGGAGUGAAAAAGAACCUGAAACCGUGUACGUACAAGCAGUGGGAGCACGCUUAGGCGUGUGACUGCGUACCUUUUGUAUAAUGGGUCAGCGACUUAUAUUCUGUAGCAAGGUUAACCGAAUAGGGGAGCCGAAGGGAAACCGAGUCUUAACUGGGCGUUAAGUUGCAGGGUAUAGACCCGAAACCCGGUGAUCUAGCCAUGGGCAGGUUGAAGGUUGGGUAACACUAACUGGAGGACCGAACCGACUAAUGUUGAAAAAUUAGCGGAUGACUUGUGGCUGGGGGUGAAAGGCCAAUCAAACCGGGAGAUAGCUGGUUCUCCCCGAAAGCUAUUUAGGUAGCGCCUCGUGAAUUCAUCUCCGGGGGUAGAGCACUGUUUCGGCAAGGGGGUCAUCCCGACUUACCAACCCGAUGCAAACUGCGAAUACCGGAGAAUGUUAUCACGGGAGACACACGGCGGGUGCUAACGUCCGUCGUGAAGAGGGAAACAACCCAGACCGCCAGCUAAGGUCCCAAAGUCAUGGUUAAGUGGGAAACGAUGUGGGAAGGCCCAGACAGCCAGGAUGUUGGCUUAGAAGCAGCCAUCAUUUAAAGAAAGCGUAAUAGCUCACUGGUCGAGUCGGCCUGCGCGGAAGAUGUAACGGGGCUAAACCAUGCACCGAAGCUGCGGCAGCGACGCUGAUGCGUUGUUGGGUAGGGGAGCGUUCUGUAAGCCUGUGAAGGUGUGC